ensembl:lncRNA
AUGAAAAACUUGUGCCAUACAACAACAUUUUUUCUAACCCUUCCGUUUCCACUGAAAUAUCAAAAGCUAUGUACAAACUCUUACAAUAAUAGGGAAACAUUCUGUACCAACACCCUGCUGUUUUGUACGCCAUCCUACUGUAGGAGAGAAAGAACUCCCUCUACCUUUCUAGCUUCUGUGGCUAAGACUAAGUAUUAAACUGACAUGAGACCUAUUAACAGAAGAAAAACAUACAUAUUUUAUUUUAAUUUCCAUGUGCACAUAGGUGUCUUUAAAAGGAAAAUGAACCUGAAGAAACAUUUUGGCCCAAAAGCUUAUAUACCUUUCCAAACAAAGAAUGAUAGAUUGUGGGCAUAUGACAAGACAAAUAGGCUUGAGCAGUAAAUUAAAGGAAAGUGACACAAGUGUUAUUUUGGUAGGUUUGUUUUACAGGUGCAUUUUGGCCUCAACUCCCAAUCAGCAGUGAUAAGAAUGUUUGCUUCCUGGGACUGGGUGUGCACCUUUCAUAGGAAUUUCUAUGACCUCCUUUGAGAUAGAAAGAGGGAAGGCAGAGAACCCUUCCUGCAUAUUCUGUUCCUCAAGUGACUUCAGCUCAAAACAGUCAAUAUACCAAAGUGGUAUAUUUUGUGUGACAUGUUCUUAACCGCCCACAAUUGAGCAGACAAUUCUCUAUCCUAUUAAUAUAGUAAUAUAUUCAAAUAUAAUUUUUGGCACAAUGCAUAUCUAAAUCCUCCCUUUCUUUAUUAUGCUAGUCAUCACAAAGCUCUGUUUUGUUUUGUUUUGUUUUGUUUUGUUUUAAUGCCAGGUCAAACCAGGGGCCAUGGGUGCUUUUGAGACAUUCAUCAAAGAGUGUGUUACUUACUCCAAUAGCAAUUUAAAGACAUACAAAAGAACCUUGCCUGUUCAAUUCAUUCAUUCUCAUCCCAUUGUUAUAUUUUUGUAAAUUCUUUGUUCUUACUUUCAAAACUGCAACAAAGUUGGUUUCAUUGGAAAGGUGUAAUCCCAGUAAUAAUAGUAAAUGCCACAUUUCCUUCCAGCAGGAUGCAUCAAAGCAGAUUAUCAUGGAAUCUCAAAUUCUAUCCUCCUGGUGAUUUUCAUCAAGAAGUGUAACAGCAGAAAACAAAAUGCAGAUGUAAAUUUAAGUAUAAAAAAUGAGAAAACAUCAAAGUAAAAGUUAAAUGAUAUUUAAUUAUAUUUUGAUUAUAAUAGUACAAGAAUGUUUUAUGAAAUUUCACAGAAUGUAAAGGAAGUGAGAAAUAUUUCAUNGGGGACAUGGGUGCUUUUGAGACAUUCAUCAAAGAAAGUGUUACUUACUCCAAUAGCAAUUUAAAGACAUACAAAAGAACCUUGCCUGUUCAAUUCAUUCAUUCUCAUCCCAUUGUUAUAUUUUUGUAAAUUCUUUGUUCUUACUUUCAAAACUGCAACAAAGUUGGUUUCAUUGGAAAGGUGUAAUCCCAGUAAUAAUAGUAAAUGCCACAUUUCCUUCCAGCAGGAUGCAUCAAAGCAGAUUAUCAUGGAAUCUCAAAUUCUAUCCUCCUGGUGAUUUUCAUCAAGAAGUGUAACAGCAGAAAACAAAAUGCAGAUGUAAAUUUAAGUAUAAAAAAUGAGAAAAC